rnacentral:rRNA from 1 species
UACGGAGGGUGCAAGCGUUAAUCGGAAUUACUGGGCGUAAAGGGUGCGUAGGUGGUUUGAUAAGUUAACUGUGAAAGCCCUGGGCUUAACCUGGGAAGGCCAGUUAAGACUGUUGAACUAGAGUAUGGGAGAGGGUAGUGGAAUUUCCGGUGUAGCGGUGAAAUGCGUAGAGAUCGGAAGGAACACCAGUGGCGAAGGCGGACUGACCUGGCCUAAUACUGACACUGAAGCACGGAAA